rnacentral:rRNA from 1 species
GAUUCUGGCUCAGGACGAACGCUGGCGGCAUGCCUAACACAUGCAAGUCGAACGGGGGUAGCAAUACCCUAGUGGCGAACGGGUGAGUAACACAUAAGCAAUCUGCCCUUCACAGGGGGAUAACAGCGGGAAACUGCUGCUAAUACCGCAUAAGACCACGGUACCGCACGGUACAGGGGUAAAAACGAAUCAGUGGUGAAGGAUGAGCUUAUGUCCCAUUAGCUAGUUGGUGAGAUAACAGCCCACCAAGGCGACGAUGGGUAGCCGACCUGAGAGGGUGAUCGGCCACACUGGAACUGAGACACGGUCCAGACUCCUACGGGAGGCAGCAGUGGGGAAUAUUGGGCAAUGGAGGAAACUCCUUACCCAGCAAUGCCGCGUGAGUGAAGAAGGUCUUCGGAUUGUAAAGCUCUUUGAUUGGGGACGAAGAAAGUGACGGUACCCAAAGAACAAGCCCCGGCUAACUACGUGCCAGCAGCUGC